GACGAACGCUGGCGGCGUGCUUAACACAUGCAAGUCGAGCGGAAAGGCCCUUCGGGGUACUCGAGCGGCGAACGGGUGAGUAACACGUGAGUAAUCUGCCUCUAGCUCUGGGAUAGCUCCGGGAAACCGGGAUUAAUACCGGAUACGACCACUCAAGACAUCUUCUGUGGUGGAAAGAAUUUCGGCUAGAGAUGAGCUCGCGGCCUAUCAGCUUGUUGGUGGGGUGACGGCCUACCAAGGCGACGACGGGUAGCCGGCCUGAGAGGGCGACCGGCCACACUGGGACUGAGACACGGCCCAGACUCCUACGGGAGGCAGCAGUGGGGAAUAUUGCGCAAUGGGCGAAAGCCUGACGCAGCGACGCCGC
rnacentral:rRNA from 1 species